rnacentral:lncRNA from 1 species
CUCGGAGCUUUGCUGAAACUGCACAAAAAAUCGAGCUGGGGGGUUCCCUGGUCCCCGAUGUUGGGGCGGAGAGCGCGGCGCCGAGGGAGGGGGCGGCGCAGACCGGCCUAGGGGACACCUGGUCGAGCGCAGCCGCCGCUCCGCUCGAGCCCUGCGCUCCAGUGCCCCCACUGGCUGGAGAGCUCGCCCAGACCGGGGGUCUUCCUCCGUCGCUGACAGUUGUUACCUGUUAAGUCAUUAAGAACCAGAAAGGGUGAAACAAAUGAAAAAAAUAAAUAACGUUGCAUUUUCACCUCGAUUUGGGAGCAGUAAAAGAUUUUAACCAUUAGAAGAAUACCAGUUCUGGAAAACAACCAAAGUUUCUUUGAUUGAAUGCCCAUGUAAUGCAUUGGAAUAUGAUAGGCGAUUAAGGUUUAACAAUGUUAAAAUGAAGAUAUUACUAAAAUGGCCCUCUAAAUAGCCCAACAAUUAUUAUUUUCUUUGUCCUAUGGAUUUGGCUUUGAAAGAUGUGCUGCUCUUAAUAAGGUAAAAACCAACUUUUGUAGCUAUUUCAUGUGUUAAGCACAUUCAAAAGUUGUUAGUUUAAUAAAUGAGGUUCUUAAGUUGGUAUGGGAAAA